rnacentral:misc_RNA from 1 species
AAGUCGUAACAAGGUUUCCGUAGGUGAACCUGCGGAAGGAUCAUUAACAAUUCGCGCCCCGGCGUGAUGCGUUCACCCUGACCUUUGAGUACCCUAUUUUCCUCCCCCCGGCCGGGGCAACCCGCCGGACGGGACACCAAAACAAACCUCUUGCAUUAGCAGUCACUGUCAGUACAAAACAAAAUUAUUAAAACUUUCAACAAUGGAUCUCUUGGCUCUG